AUUAGCUCAGUUGGUUGAAGCAUGGUGCUAAUAACACCAAGGUUGUGGGUUUGAUCCCCAUAU
rnacentral:tRNA from 1 species